ACGCCGAAUUUCAACUGAAUGACAAUUCUAAACAACCAUUCUGGUUCACGCCGUCUCAGUUUGCUGGAAGACUUGUUAUAGAGGCAGACGGGUCUCAUGUUGACUUCUUCCACGUGACCGUCCCCUCCGAUAAAUCCUUAAACGUUGACAUGGAAUGGACGUCUGACACUGGCAUUGAUGGAAAUGAUGAAACUUUGACAGUUGAGAUCGGUUACAUGAAGCAGAUGGAGUUAUCCUCCCUUGAACCAUCCUCUACUUUCCCUCGAGCAUCCUGUGGUAAAGAAUCAAGUAUGACGAUACCAAAUAUUCAAUGGGAACAAGAAAUAUCGCACCACACUGCAGAAUUACAGCUUCAGAAAGCCUUCUUCCCAUUUAAACAGGUCGAGUAUUACAACAUAAGUGAGGCACUUUCAAGAGCUGCUGUAGAGAAAAAGUACGUGCACAGCAUCGUCCUCUGGGGUGCUCUAGAUGAUCAAUCCUGCUGAGGUUCGGGACGGACUUUACGGGAGGGUCCUCUCGCUAGUCCGUCCGUCAUCAGCCUCCUAAAGGACCGGUUCGUUAGCAGCUGGACCCUCCUGGAGGAUCUCCACCGUCAGCAGGAGUCGGAGGAUAUGGAGGUCGUUACCAGGGCAACACUGGCUCUUAGAGCCUACUCAUUUCCAGUGGAAAUUAUCAUCUAUAACUGGGAAGAAAAAAUUAUAUUUCAUGAAAAUCUCAACACAAUAUUUGAAGAGUCUUACAAUGCAGAAAACAAAGAAUAUCCGGAUUACUACGAC